AGUGGGCUUCCAGCUCCUCUGGAAGAUUUCUGUCUGCAUUUAGGUCUUGGAGGCUGUGGCGUCCAUUCAUUUUUGAGAUGCUAAGCAGUUCCUGUGGGGAAGAGGUGGCCAGCAUUCACAUCAUCUUUGAUCAGAUCAUCACUCAAGAGGCCUGGCUCCUGCUAGGGUGAUGCCCUGGGUAUCUGCACCAGGACCCCUCUCCCGCCUCCUAGCCAAGGUGACCAACGAUAGCAGGCCGCAGGUGGGCCUCCCUAUUCAGAAGGAAGACAGUGUGAAGACACUGGAGAAAGAUAACCAUCAAUAAGCCAAGCAGGAAGGCAUUAGAAGAAGCCCUGCCAACACCAUGAUCUUGGACUUCU